rnacentral:tRNA from 1 species
GCCUGGGUGGCUCAGUCGGUUAAGCGUCUGACUUCAGUUCGGGUCAUGAUCUCCAGGUCUGUGGGUUCCAGCCCCGCGCCGGGCU